AUUACAGCACAGCUAUUGUGAAUGUUAUGACAGCACUACAAUCUCAGAUUCACCGCCAUUCAUGAAGAGUCACGUGUCAGCGCUGAUUCUGCUCGUGUUUGGCGCGCUUUGAAUGAUUUGAACGCUGUAACGGUUCUGAAGAUGGCGGCGCUCUCAGGAUCACUCCGUCCCUGAUGUUUCUCUCGCAGUUUAUUCAGGUCUGCUGAGAGACAGGCCAGCGUCACGUGGUCUGUACACCACGGCUGUACCACACACACACACACACACACACACACACACACACACACACACACACACACACUGCUCUUUCAUCUAUACACCGCCACAAACAUCCCACAAUCCUCCGGAUUUCACUCCAUGCAUAAGACCGAUGCUUCAGGGGAAUAACGUUAUCUGCUGAAUUAACCCAGGAACCACUGCUGGGUCUGGCUGUAAAUGGACGCCUGAGUUUCAAAGCGUCAGAGUCUCUCUAGGCUUCAGAGCUACACCAGUAAUGGAGAAACAGCUCAAGUUGACUUCAGGCCGUCUGGAGGAAGAGACUCUGCUUCUGCCAUGUUUGCUUCUGAUUGGAUGCUUCGAGGAAAUAAUACAUAUUAGAGGUCAACAGAGCAGAUGAACGCUGAUGGUUCGGUCAGUUCUCCUCUAGUCUCAGAAGUCACAGCUGUCAGGCUUUUAAUUGCCGGAAAGCCAAGCCAGGCUUAUCGCAAAAAUAUGAUUCUGGCUGCAUUUCUGCAAAACUCACAAAAACAUAGCCAUACAUCUACUUCACUGCAGUUGCCAGCUGAAAUGAACACCAGUGGCAGUAAAACACCAAUAACUUUUAUUCCUUUUCACACAAGUCAUGGUUACAGGGGCAUAUUAUCGAUUAAUAAAGACUUCAUUUCAUGUGGUUCCUCACACAGUACUAUGUUAUGAGCUCAAAACACUUUUAUCACAGUGCAUGAUUUGUAAACUAAUACAUUUUGA